rnacentral:tRNA from 1 species
UGGGGAGUAGCUCAGUGGAGAGCACUUGCCAAUCAUGCAGGAGGUCCUAGGUUCAAUCCCUAGCACCCCCC